rnacentral:rRNA from 1 species
GAUGAACGCUGGCGGCGUGCCUAAUACAUGCAAGUCGAGCGAACAGACGAGGAGCUUGCUCCUCUGACGUUAGCGGCGGACGGGUGAGUAACACGUGGAUAACCUACCUAUAAGACUGGGAUAACUUCGGGAAACCGGAGCUAAUACCGGAUAAUAUAUUGAACCGCAUGGUUCAAUAGUGAAAGACGGUUUUGCUGUCACUUAUGGAUGGAUCCGCGCCGCAUUAGCUAGUUGGUAAGGUAACGGCUUACCAAGGCGACGAUGCGUAGCCGACCUGAGAGGGUGAUCGGCCACACUGGAACUGAGACACGGUCCAGACUCCUACGGGAGGCAGCAGUAGGGAAUCUUCCGCAAUGGGCGAAAGCCUGACGGAGCAACGCCGCGUGAGUGAUGAAGGUCUUCGGAUCGUAAAACUCUGUUAUUAGGGAAGAACAAAUGUGUAAGUAACUACGCACGUCUUGACGGUACCUAAUCAGAAAGCCACGGCUAACUACGUG